AAGGGAGACCUAAUUCAGGUAGGAGACGAAAAAAAAGUAGUCGCUACCAAGAAUCAAUCCCAAAAGGUCGGAACGAGGUAUGUGGCUUUCAAACUAGGUUCUGGGUUCACACAAGACCUGAAUCAGGAACAAGGGCUAUUAGCUCAGGUGGUUAGAGCGCACCCCUGAUAAGGGUGAGGUCCCUGGUUCGAGUCCAGGAUGGCCCACCUGCACAGGUGGCAAAAACAAAGAAGCGAGGAAUCAGCACCUUAUCUUAUCUAUAUAUAAGAGAGAAUGCUGGCUCUGAGUAAAGAGUCCAGAGGAACCUUGAAAACUGCAUAGAGCUAGGUGAAAAAGCCAAAAAAGAAGACCGCAA
rnacentral:tRNA from 1 species